UACACACCGCCCGUCACGCCAUGGAAGCUGGGGGGACCUGAAGUCGGUGGGCUAACCGCAAGGAGGCAGCCGCCAAAAGGUCAAUUCAGUGACUGGGGCG
rnacentral:rRNA from 1 species